rnacentral:piRNA from 1 species
UUUUCACCAUGUGACCUGCCGCCGC